CUCUUAUGAGACAGCUGUCCAAACAUGAGUGCUUCAUCUUCCUUUCCGCCAUCUCUACGCAGGAAUAUGGGGUUGACAAGGAAUCAGAAGGAUCUGGUAAAGAGCUUGGCCGUCGUGGAAUGAUUGGGACUGAACGAAUUGGACUUGAUGCUGGUGACAGUCUUGGUGCUCUUGGUUUGAACCUCGAAUCCACUGGCUGUGGUGUAUUUGAUGCUCUGUUUUCGAGUUUCUCCAUGAUUCUUGUGACAUAGAUUGGCGAUGAAACUUUUAUAAUAGCGGCACUAAUGGCUAUGCGACACCCCAAAGCUACUGUUUUGUCUGGUGCACUUUCAGCUUUGUUUGUUAUGACUUAUUGAGCGACCCGUUUACAAGGCAGGAGUACGACAAGAAAAUGAAGCUUCAUAUCUAUGAGCACAAUAUGGAGCUUUUUGAUCGGUACAAAGAGCUCAUCUUUACUUGCAAUGGCCUUGGGAUGAAGAAAUUUCUUUGGUGAAUUGCAGAGCUUUUAAUUUAGGUGAUAUAUAUAGCCUUUGUAGGUUGAGUUAGAGACAUCAGCCUUUGUAGCAGGGUUUGAGUAUUGAUCAUAGUCUGAGAGCAAGAGAAACCAUCAAUUAAGCAUUAAUCAUGUUUUUAGGUUCUCUGCUUCCACAAGUUUUUCUUUUCUUUGUUUUUUUUGUUCUUUGUUCUUUGGAAAGAUUAGAAACUUGUGUUGAAAUGUCAAUCGUCUUCUUCCAUAGAUUCCUUAGUUUUAUUGUGUCUUGUAUUCUUUUUCUCACAUGUCUUGUAUUCUCAUGUCACGGACGUUGAUGAAAGUGUUUUCUGGUAUAUGAUUAAUUGUUUCUUCCAAGAAGUAUGAUAUAAGUAUGUUCUAAUUUUACAGAAAGACCAGUGAUGUAUAUGGCGGAGAUGUGUUGAGCGAGACUAAACCAUUACAAAUACAUGCUUCACCCAAGAAAGACAUUGCCUCCACCAAAGUUGCCAAGUGAUCACAUAACCAAGCUCUGUCGUGGGGAUUGGGUGAUUAAAAGGUCGUCAAGUUCUAACCUAGUGCAACA